UUCUAUUUAUAGCAGGAUUUCUUGAUAUGGCGAGUCUUACCACAAUAAUGGCACUCAAAAUUUUUAAAUUUUGACCUUGACUUACUUCGGCUUUUAUCUCUACUCUCUUCAUUUGUGUUUACUUCUUCCCCUAUUUUCUAUCACAAGCAACUCAGAUUGAGAUGAAACCUGAGAUUUCCUUCUCAUUUCUUCAUUCAAAAUACUACUUUUAACAAGUUCAACAGUCAUAGUACCAUUAGGAGCAACACUAACAAAUGAAACACGAAAAAUUUUCCAAAAAUCAGAUAGAGUAGCAAGC
rnacentral:lncRNA from 1 species